AACUUUUAUACAUUUUGAGAAGAACGGCUACCCAGUGGAUUCAAGCUUUGUUCACAUAUCCUAUCUUCCGCUUCCUCACAUGUACGAGAGACUUGUUAUGAUGAUUAUUUGCUGUGCUGGAGGUCGAGCUGGAUUCUUUCGUGGUGAUGUGAAACUUCUUUUGGAUGACAUCUAGUUAUUGAGGCCGACAUUCUUCGCUUCAGUUCCUCGUUUGUUAAACCGUCUUUACGAUAAGGUUAUAUCAAAUAUUGAAAGUAGCAGUGGCUUAAAAAAAUGGCUGUUUUACAAGGCUUUUGAGUCGAAGAGAGCGGACUUGAAAAAAGGUCAAAUCUCCAAAAAUACUUUGUGGGACAAAAUAGUUUUUCACAAAAUUCAGGUACGAAACGGACAGGCUGUUACGGGCAUUUACUUCACUGGUGGUUGCUUGCUUCUUCACAGUUUAUCACGUUUCAAGGAUAUUGAGAUCAGUGAUUUUCCUUAUAUUUCCCGCUAAUUGUUUUACUCUCACCUGGCCAAUGAAUUGUAAAUUACAUUUCGCUGCACCGGGCACUCGCCGUCGUUCUUUCGAGGGACUGGU